rnacentral:rRNA from 1 species
GAUUAACGCUAGCGGCAGGCCUAAUACAUGCAAGUCGAGGGGAAGGUCACUUCGGUGGCCGGAGACCGGCGCACGGGUGCGUAACGCGUAUGCAAUCUACCUAUAGCAGAGGGAUAGGCUAUGGAAACAUGGAUUAAUACCUCAUAAAGCAGGGGUACCGCAUGGUACUAUUUGCUAAAGCUGAGGCGGCUAUAGAUGAGCAUGCGUCUGAUUAGUUAGUUGGUGGGGUAACGGCUCACCAAGGCAGCGAUCAGUAGCGGGUUUGAGAGGAUGAUCCGCCACACUGGCACUGAGAUACGGGCCAGACUCCUACGGGAGGCAGCAGUAGGGAAUAUUGGGCAAUGGGCGCAAGCCUGACCCAGCCAUGCCGCGUGCAGGAAGAAGGCCUUCUGGGUUGUAA